rnacentral:rRNA from 1 species
CCUACGGGUGGCUGCAGUGGGGAAUAUUGGGCAAUGGAGGAAACUCUGACCCAGCAACGCCGCGUGAAUGAUGAAGGUCUUCGGAUUGUAAAGUUCUUUUCUAAGGGAAGAAGAAAGUGACGGUACCUUAGGAAUAAGCCUCGGCUAACUACGUGCCAGCAGCCGCGGUAAUACGUAGGAGGCGAGCGUUAUCCGGAAUGACUGGGUGUAAAGGGAGCGUAGACGGUUACGCAAGUCUGGAGUGAAAGGCGGGGGCCCAACCCCCGGACUGCUUUGGAAACUGUAUAACUGGAGUGCAGGAGAGGUAAGUGGAAUUCCUAGUGUAGCGGUGAAAUGCGUAGAUAUUAGGAGGAACACCAGUGGCGAAGGCGGCUUACUGGACUGUAACUGACGUUGAGGCUCGAAAGCGUGGGGAGCAAACAGGAUUAGAUACCCCUGUAGUC